rnacentral:lncRNA from 1 species
CGCUGAUCGCCGAGGGCCUCGCCAUCGUUUUCGCGCACACGCUAGAGGCCGUCACGGACAUGCGCCCAGGCGCGGACGCUCCGUCACGUUCCAAUGGUCUGCGACAAAAGUCGUCGCGGUCACACGCGCGACGCAUGGUCCUUGCCAAAUGCGUACAAAAAAAGGAGGAAAAAACCCCAGGCAGAGAGUGGAGCGAAAAGGAGAGAGGCCGCACUUGCUCUAGAGCGUCGCGCCAAAAGCGUGGCACGCCCGACGCCAUACGAUCGCCGCGCGCGCGGCACGACACGAAGCGCCACAAACAGAGGCACAAUCACUGGGGCUCGGCCAAGGACACCAGACCCCCACAGAAAGAGUGGGUGAGACCGCUAAAGCCAAUAACGCCCCCGUCGGGCACGGUGGCCUGGACGCGCACGGUCUGCCCAGCGGCGAGGAGGAAAUCGCCCGAGAGCGACGCAUCGAAAAAAUCGGUGGCGGCUGUCGGGUCGUAAAACGCCACCCAGCGUUCGAUCGGAGGGGCGCCGCUGUCGCUCACGAGCGCGAUGACGGCAUUGCAAGGCACGAUCGUGCCCACAAACGAGGGCACUUCGAAGCGGUAGACGCCGUCGACGGGCGCCGUGAACACCGACGUCGCCGGGUCGUAGUUGUCGGCCGGGAGGCCAUUCUGGAGGUCGUAGAUUUGCACCGCGUAGGGCACGGUGGCGGUCGUGGGUCCCGUGACUUGGAAACCCGCGUUGGUGACGGCGCGAAAAAGAACGCUCGGCGACGGCG